AGCAGCAAAUGGCCUCGGGAGUGAUGCAGUAAGGUGUAGAAAUUAGAGGUAUGCUUUUAGUUAGAUUUUAAGUGAGUACAGCAGAGGAGUUCACCUGCUGCAGUGAGCUUAGCUGGUCUUGGAGACUUUCACGUGCUAGGACCUGAUCAGGUCUGUCAAGCUUUUCUUCUCACAAGGGCCUCAAAGAUCUGAAAGGAGAGAGGAAGGAUAAAAGGAAAGGGGGGAAAAAAAAAACAAAACAGGCUCAGUACUUAGCAUCUGGGACACUCAUCUCAGAACAAUGCUCUAGCUCCUCCCCAAAAGAUUUCUACUCAAUACACCUUUUUUUUUUUUUUUUUUUUUUUUUUUUUAAUAUGAAGCAGCUCACAAGGACAGCAGGACCCAGGCAAGCCAAGAAUACAGCACCCAAAAUGCUCUCCAGAGAGAAAAGAAAUUUGUCUUGCAGUGACUGAUGAGGGCAAGACAGAAAGCAAGCAGGGAGAGGAAGGGCACGCAAGCUGCCUGGAUGGAGGAGGUGGCUGAGCCUGGAUGAAGCACAGCAAACCACAAGUGCAGAUACGACUCGUCCAGCAGGAAAAAAAAUGCCUUUUUUCAGCUCCGUAAGUAAAUGAAACAUCAGAGAUGGGGCAAAAAAAAUCGGUAUUAAAAAAGUACAGAAAGUCUCCAAAGUUUUUCCAGCAAAAUGAAAGCAGAAAACAUCUAAUUUAGGGACAGAGCAAAACAAUUCAUACAGUAUAAUCUUAUUAUUUUACUGCAGAUCACACAUUUUGUUAAAUCCACUAUAUUGUGGUCUUUUUAUUUUGGACAGUAUUUAUAACAAUAAUAAAUGAGGGUAGUAAACUACUUUUCAAUGUUUUUUUAAAAAAAACAGACAAAAUGCUGUAAGAUGUUGAAACAAAACACGUUGGCAUUUCUGAAGUGGAAUUUUCUUCUGAAAAUGAAAUUCGGUUUCGGUUUUUUUUCAGCUGAAGCUACUGUUAGAGUGUAACUAACUUUCAGAUACAAAUGAAUGGGGACAAAGCUGUCGAAGCAAAACAAAGCUGUUCAUUAGUAACGAUUCCGCUCAGCCGACUGGACAUCUCCCUGCCCUGAGAGCCGA
rnacentral:lncRNA from 13 species